rnacentral:lncRNA from 1 species
UUUAAGAUGUAAUUGUCUUGGAAAUUAUUGCAAGUAGCAAAUGUUUACUUUCACUACUGACUUUUACAAAUUAAUAACUUUCAUCAACCAUGAUCAUUAAGCCAAGUGUCAAAGUUCUUCUCAGAACUUUGCUUUAUUGUGUAACUGAUGACAUUUUCACCCCAGAUUACAGGAUAGAGUGUCACCUGUCACUAAUGACUAUUAAUGGAUAUUUCAGCAGUACAAGGGUCUGACCUUUCACCAUUAGAGUAUGCUUGCAAACCUCUGUCUAAAAAUGAGAAAAUAUGAACAAAUAAGAUGCUGUUUAGAUACAAUCAAACAUCUGAGCUAUAUCAAAUGUUUCAAAACCUGGAGGACCUCUGGCAUUGUAAAAAGACCUAUAACCUGGAAGGAAUAUGAACAAGUUCGACCACCUCCUGUCAGUGGCUGCAUUGUUCCUCAGAGACCAAGAAGCCAAAGAAAUAGAUUAUCAAGGCAACUGAAAAUCCAGCAAUUGUUUGGAUAGGACCAUUGGAGAAUAAAGCAAUGAUAUCAUUAAAAGAACUUUAUUUU